rnacentral:lncRNA from 1 species
CUUUAAAAAAUAUUGAAAUAAUUAAAAAUAUAUCUUAAAUAAAUCUCAACAAAAUACUAAUUUAAUCCUAAUUAAAACCUUAAUAGACUUCAAUCAAACCUUAGAAAAAUCCUAAACUUUAAACCAAAUUCUAAAUCAAAUUUUAGAUCUUAAAUAAAACCCUAUACAAAUCCUAAAUCCUAAAUCAAAUCCUAAAUCAAACCUUAGACAAAUCCUAAAUCCUAAACCAAAUUCUAAAUCAAAUCCUAAACAAAUUCUAAAUCCUAAAUCCUAGAUUCUAAACCAACUCCUAUAUCAAAUUUUAAAUCAAACCCUAUACAAAUCUUAAAAUCUUAAAUCAAAUCCUAAAUCAAAUCCUAAAUAAAUCCUAAAUCAAACCCUAACCAAAUCUUAUAUCUUAAACCAAAUCCUAAACUCUAAUUCAACUCUUAACCAAAUUCUAAUCAAAUCUUAAAUCCUAAAUCAAAUCUUAAUCAAAUCCUAAAUUCUAAAUUAAAUCCUAACUAAAUUCUAAGACCUAAAUCAAAUCUUAGAUAAAUCCUAAAUCCUAAAUCAAAUCCUAAUCAAAUCUUAAAUCCUAAACCAAAUCUUAAGAUAGUUUAAAACCUCAAUAUCUUUUGAUUAAAUCAUUGAUCUUGUUUAAAAUUUUAAACACCUUUCAAUCUCUUAGUUAAAAAUAAGUAUAAAAAAUUUGAAGACAAUGCCAUUUACUAAAUAGAAGAAAAAUCCUAAAAUCUGGCCAAUAAGUGAUAUUGAAUUCAAAUCUUUAUAUAAAUAUGCUCCAUCAAGCUUGGCAAUAAUUCAAAAUACGUACUGACAUUAAAUACUUGAAGUUCUUAUGAUCUGUACAUAUGAUGACUAGACUAGAAGUACCUUCUAGAUAAUGACACUAUUCUUGAAAAAAAUCCAUGAUUGCAAAAAGUUCUUUAUUGUAAAUCUCAUAGUUGAUUUUGGUUGUUAAAAUUUUUUAGAAUAGAAAGCUAUUGAGAGGAAAAUUUCAUCCUUUCCUAUUUAUGAAAAAAAAAACAUCCAUAGCAAAAUUUGAUGCAUCUAUUUUUAUAAAAAAUAUCAACACAAUACAAGAUUGGUAUAGAAUUAAAUGCCAAAUUUAAAGCUUUAAAAGAUUUUUCAAUUCCUUAACUCCAAUCAAGUUUAUUUUUACAUAUAAGACAUAUAAGAAGAACCACAAUUUGAGCAAAAUUCUUGAUAAAGGUUCAAUAUUUAUAGACAAAAUCUAAAAAAUAUUGUACAUCUUUUAUUAUUUUUAAAAUCUUUCAAUCUAUAAUAAUUUGAACUUUCUUCGAAUCUAUCAUAAGUCUUUUGUUGGAAAUGAUAUAUCCUAAGAAGUCAACUUGAAUAGUAUAGAAUAUACUUUUUUUCAACUUGGCAUACAAUCUCGCAUCUCUAAGUUUUUGUAAUACAUGACAAACAUGAAUUUCAUACUUUUUUAUGUUCUUAGAAUAUAUUAAAAUAUCAUCUAAGUAACAAACAAUACAAUCAUCUAAAAACUCACAAAAAACAUCAUUCAUAAGAUGUUGAAAAUUAAUUGAUGCAUUUGUGAGUCCAAAAGGCAUGACAUUAUAUUCAAAGUGCCUUUAUCUUGUUCAAAAUAUAAUUUUUCAUUCAUCUCCUUUUUUAAUGCAAAAUAAGUUAUAUGCUCUACUUAGAUCUAUUUUUAUAUAGAUCUUAGUUUAAUUUAGUUGAUUAAGAAGUCUAGAUAUCAAAGAUAAAAGAUACCUAUUAUUUAUAGUAAUCUUGUUGAAUCCUCAAUAAUCUAUGGACAUUUGCAAUGACCCAUCUUUUUUCUUCACAAAUAAGAUAGGAGCUCAUAUAAGAAAUUUUGAAUGGCAUAUGAAAUUCUUCACGAAGUUCUUGUUAAUAUACUUCUUGAGCUUAGCCAACUCAUUUUGUGAUAAUCUAUAGAUUGAACCAAAUGGUGGUUGACUUCCCUUUGUAAGAUCGAUUGAAAAAUCAUAUGGACAAUAUUUUAGGAAAAUAUUUGCAUUAUUCUAUUCAAAAAUAUCUUUAAAAUAUUGAUAUUGACUUGGAAUGCUAUCUAGAGUCUUUCCAUCAUUAAAAAUGGAUGUGGCAUAAAUAACAAAAGAUGAUGCUUCUUUUGCAGCAUGCAAGAAAGCUUUUGUACCUAAAAAUAUAGAUUUGGCAAUAUUAGAUUCAAUGCUUUCCACAAAACUCUUAAUAAUAUUUUGGAAAAAAAUCAAGUUUACAAAAAAUCUAAUCUAUUAGAAGAUUAUACGUUUUUAGCCAAAAUAAAUCUAAAAUGCUUGAAUUAAAGAGAGAUCUAAUUAUAUUAAAAAUUAUGUAACUAUCAUGACCAUUUAUUGUUAUAUCUAUAGAAAGUAUUUUAUGAAUAAUAUCUCUAGAAGUUAACAAAUAGCCAUCUAUGACUUCUAUAUGUAUGGAUUUAGUUUUUUAUAUUAAUAGUAUUCUAUGGCCUUUAAUAAAUAUUUUAUCUAAAAAAUAAGCUAAGGCUCUUGAAUUAAUUAAGAUAGAGGCUUUGUAAUUAUUAGGUCUUAAAUGUCUAUCUAUUAUAAAAGAAGGAAAGGAUUUUCAAAAGAUGAUAGAACCUUCAUUUGUACAAGAUUUCAGAUGUAUGGUCCCUAUUGUAAUAUGACAACUUUGUUUUUUGAUAUUUUUUCAUCUUUGACAAUUGUACUUCUCAUUUUGAAAUUAUGCUGUUACUUUGAAUAAUAUUGAAUAAUGUGCUUAGCUUUUCUAUAAGAUAAAUAUAGUUCUUUUUGACAAUAAUGAGUCUUUUCUUGUUCAAUAAGAGAUUUAAAAUAUAUUACAUUAAUUUACAUGUCUUCUACUUCUAAAUAUUUAGAUUGAAAGACCAUUGAUAUUACCAUUGAAUUAUAAUAAUAAGAAGGUUCUUUUAUGAAAAUCUCAGAUUGAAACUCAAAAAGCCAAUUGCUAUACUUCACAAAAAAAAAAUUGCUUGACUUAAUGUCUAAGGAUCAAGUAACUUGAGCAUCAAUUCCUUUAAUUUAUAUUAUAAUCCGUAGAGAAAUUGGUUGAUAAUGGCAGCAUCAUUCUACUUGACAUCAGUUGUUAGUUGUUGAAAUUGUAAAUAUAUGGUGUCACUAAUGAAUUAUCUUGUCAUAAGAUAUGAAUCCUAUUAGUUGCACCAUAAAUUGCAUCAUGUUUUUCAUACAUGUAUUGAAACUUUACCAAAAAAUCCUCUACAUUAUCUAAUAUUGAAUCUUGUUGUUCAAGAAAAGAUAAAAAUCAUGAUAAUACCAAACCUAAAAGAAAUAUAAUAAUGAAUCUAACUUAUGAUCUUGGGAUUGGAUAGCUUUGAGAUUGAAGUUCAAUCAUAAGUUAUAUUUGAUUGAUAAAUCCUUGAAACUUGUAUCUUGUAUCAUCAAACUUUUUAAAUAAGGCAACUUUGGAUUCUUUAACAUUGAGAAAGUGUUCUACUAUAAGAGAGGGAAUGUGAUUUGGUGUAGAUCUUGAAGCGGCUUCAAUCAUAUCUAUAUUUUUACUUCCUUCCAUUUUGUAGCUCUUAGUGGAGAUAAAUUAAGUUGAUGUAUUAUAAACAUCAAUUCUUUCAAUUGCUCUUGUAUUUAUGUCAUUGCACUCUUCAUUUUAAGAAGCUUUGCUAUAAUAACAUUUAGAAAAAAAUAUCUAAUAUUGCUCAAAAAAAGCAAAGGAGAAGACUUAAGAAAGAAGAUACUAAGAACAAUAUUGGAUAAGAAGAAAAUAAUGCACAACUUCUAAUAUACUUAAUCCACUCUUAAUCAAGAGAAGACAAAGCUCUAAUAUUGUAAGUGCAUUCUUAUCAAUCUGCUAAGGACAAGAACUCAAUGAAAGUAAAUAAAAAAGUGAGACUCUCUCAAAGAAAUAAAAAUAGAAAAGUAUAUAUAUUAAAAAAAAAAACUAGAAUAGCUAUUGCUAGAAAACAAGGAAAUUAUACACUCUUGAAACUAGACUAGAAAUAAGAAAAGAGUUGACAUGAAUGAAGAAGGAUUCAUUCUUAUUUCUAUAUACUAUCUACUUAGGAUCUAUGUGGCAAUGUUCUAUAUGACCUUCAAAAAUAUAUUGACUUUGUAUGACAUGUAUCUUGACUUGUAAAGUAAGUUUUCUAUAUAGGUACCACAUAGUUAGCUUGUUCCAUAAGCUACCAAUAUAUGUGAUGCAUGCAUAGUUUGUUGAUCAAGUUUCUAACCUAUCAAUCAACUACAAAUAUAUAUAAAGUCAAAAUAGCAUCUAUAAAGCUUCUAAGAAAUUUCUUUAGAAGAUAUUAUGAAAUUAAUCUAUUGUUAUCUAAUUAUAUCUAUUUAUAUUAUCUAAGUAAUAAUUACAAUAAGUAUAUAUUUGUGAUAUAUACUUGCUUGAAUACUAUCAUUGUAAGAAAACUCCAAGGAUGUCAAAUAUUCAUCCUAGUCAUUAUGGUGAACCGCCACAAACGUCCAUAGCAUAUCUUCUAAGGUUUGAUUUGCAGGUUUUUUUUUAUCUAUUUGGUUGAGAAUAGAAGGUGAUAGACAUGGCAAAUCAUAUUCCUAAUAUCUUGAAUAAGGCCAACUAAAAAUUCUCCAUAAAAAGCAUAUCUUGAUUUAAAAUGAUGCCAUGAGGUAACCCAUGGUGAUGAAAGAUAGUCUCAAAAAAAAUCUUUGUAAAUAUUGGAGUAUCAAUAUCAAAUUGUACCACAACCAAGUAAAGUUACUUGGACAAUUGAUCCAUAAAGAUAGCAACCGCGAUGUGAUAAUAAGAUGUCUAUAGCAAAAAUGUAAUGAGGUCCAUCGUCACUUACUCCCAACAUACCAUAGGUAGUAGAAUUGGCUGCAAUAGUCUAGAAGAUGUUAUAUUGCAUACUUUAUUACAUUGAUAUAACUUGCAAGAAUACACAAAAUCUCAAACAUCUUAAUCCAAACCUACCUAAAACUAUGUCCUUAAAAUUUGUUCUAGAGACUUUUCAUGCCUUGGAUGCCCAGAUAUUAGAAUGUUAUAUCCCUCUUAAAAUAUUGGCAUUCAGAGUAUAAUAUCAUGAGAUAUAUAAAUAUAUUUCUUGAAAUAGAGCAAGCCAUUAUUAAGACUAUAAUCUUGAUAUUAUACAUCACAUGCCUUUAGCCGAUUGCUAACCAUCUUGAAAUAAGUAUUCCAAUAUAUAGCUUCUUUUGAUUUUGUAUCUUUGAUUAGGUUUGAAAUGAUACUACUAAUAGUAGCAACUUUUGCCUUAUCUCCCAAUUUGGCCUUCAAGUCUGAUCUUUGUGAUAAGCUAUUUGAUAAAGUAUGUUGUUGCCUUAGCUUCUAUUCAUGCUAAAUAUCUAAAAAUUGUAACUAAUCUUUUCAACAACAAUGUUGUAAUUUCAUAUUUUUCAAAUACAAAUUAUGUAGCAGCAUUCAAUGGUUAGUUUGAACAAUCACUAACUUCUCCAACACAUAAUAUCACCAUAUCUUUAUAGCAUAUAUAAACACUAAUUGCUCUCAAUAAUAUGUAGUAUAAUUAUAUAUAUAUAUUUUUUAAUCUUGCAUGAUUUAUACUCCAUGGACUGAAGGUUCUUACCAAAGUCUUGUUGAAAGACUACUCCAAUAGAAAAGUCAAAAGCAUCAAUGUUAAGUAUACAAGGAAAGUUGGAAUCAUAUAGUUGUAAUAUUGGAGCAGUAAUGAUUGUCUCCUUCAACCUAUCAAAGGUACUUUCUUGUUCUAGUUUCAAUUCAAACAGGGCACCUUUCUCUAGUAGGCUUAUCAAUGCAUUAGCAAUAUGUACAAAUUGCUAACCAAAAUGGCAAUAAUAUCUAAAGAAUGAAUAAAAUUCAGAAGCAUACUUAGAGGUUGGCCUAAAGAAUGAAUAAAAUUCAGAAGCAUACUUAGAGGUUGGCCAAUCUUCUACUCCUUUUAUCUUAUGCUACUCCAUGUGCACGCCGUUGGAGGAUACUACAUGCCUUAAAAAGGUGACCUCUGACUUUUAAAGUUUACACUUCGAUUGCUUAUAAUAGAAGCAACUAUCUCAUAGUCAAGGCAACACUUCUCAUAGAUGUUGCUCAUACUCUUUAGGGAUUUUACUAUAGAUUAGGAUAUCAUUAAUGAAGAAAACUAUAUACUUGUUCAAAAGGUUCCAAAAAAUUCAGAUUAUGUGAUCCAUGAAAGAGGCUAGAGCAUUGGUGAAGCUAAAAGGUAAAAUAAGCCAUUCAAAAUGUCCAUAGUGCAUACAAAAUACUAUCUUUUCUAUAUCUUUUUUUAUAAUAGGUAUCUAUCAAUAGCCAUUAUAAAGAUCAAAUUUACUAAAAAUAGUUUUAUUUCAAAGUUCAUCAGGAAGAUCAUUCAUACAUUGUCAUUGUAGAAAGAAUUUUUCUUAAGAAAGGGUUGGACUUUUAGUUAUUACUAAUUACUCAAUCAAACCUCUAGAUUAAAAAAAUACCAAGUCUAAAUAUAAAAUUGUCCUUAAAGGGACAAUUAUCAAAGCCCAAAGUACCAAAGGUCACCAAAAAUGUGAGAAAAAUAUUAUAAAACCUUCUAUAUCCUUAAGGCAAAUUUUUUCCAAACUUCAACAGCUCAUAUCUCGCAAUCCAAUUAUCCAGAUAAACCAAAAUUCUAUAUGAAGUAUUCAUAUACUUUUAACAACUAUGACAACAAAUUUCAGCUGUAAAUUCAUCACGUUGUCAUAUUACAUGUUGUCUUGCUCGAAAAUGCAUUAGGCACCUAGUUAUAAAGAUGAGGUUGUAUUUUACAAACAUCCAAAAAAUCCUAAUAGGUUUUAUCCAUAUGAUAAGAAUAUAAUCAAUUUUUAAUUAAAAAGUAAAAAAAAACAUUCUUCUUAGUAGCCUCGAUCACACAUAAACCUCAAUUACUUUGUUACUUUCAUAUUUAAGUAAUUUAGAUUUUUCUUAUAAGCCACAAUCCUAAUCAGUGAACUUUAAUAAGCUGUAAAUUCUAAUCUAACCAUUCACUUGAUGUAAAAUUUUUCAUGCAAUUGUCAAUAUAAGUCUUCUAUAUGCUCAAGAAUUUUCAGCCCAAUCCAACUUACAGAUUAUGAGAAAACCUCCAAAAAUUGCACUAAUGUCACUUGGCAGCCAACUUGAAAAGUGAAGCAAAAAUUCCAAUAGUGAUUUCUCCUUCUUCAACUAUUAAUUUUGAAUCAAAAUUGGUAUACACCUUGAUCUUCAAGUCUUUCAAUACUAUGCCGAAUUUCAGCUUGAUUCAACUAGUAGAUCUCCAGAUAUCAUGGAAAUCCUACCCAACUCCAAAUUGCCAACUUCCAAAAUCUCCUUGUGCUAAAAACUAGAUAUCUCUAAAUCACAUUAUUAGAUUAUCACAAAAUUUUGUAUACACUUAGCACACCAAAUAAUCCAAAUAUUAUCAAAUUUUGAACUAUAGAUGCUACACCAAUUGUAUGAACUAGCCAAAAUUACUAGUCCUAAUUAUAUUAUAUAAAAUCCAAAUCACCAAUGUAAAUCUUAAAUUUGAACAAUAAUUGCUAAGUCUUCAAAAAUCCUAAAAAAACAACCUUUAUGCCUUUAAAAAGAGCUUUAAGCUAGCUCUCAAAUCCUAACCUUUGAUCUUUGAAUGCCUCUCUAAUUUUUCUUAGGUAGUCGUUUUUGUAACCAAAGAUCUGAUUUUGACCCUGUUUCAUAAAUGGUCAAUCCUUGGGUAUCAAUUUAAUCUAUCCUAAGGAUUUUUUAGCUCAAUCCUAUCCUCAACUUGAUCCUUGUAUCAACCAUACCAACCAUUUACCUCUUUUAUCCUAAUUUUAUCAAUUUAUGGCCUUUCUAAGGCAUUGAAAGAGUUUCUAUAUUCUAGAAGAUAAAAAUACUAACUAACUUUUAUCUACUUGCUAUUAAGACAAGAAAAUAGGCUAAGAAGCUUUCAUAAAAGUCUUAUGAAAAUAUUUUGAAUUCUUGUUGAAUUAAUAUAAUAGAGCAUUAAUUAAAAAAUCAUUUUUAGUCAUACUUUUACCAUAUAAUCAUGUAACAAUAUUAUACCAUUUGAUAUAAGUGAAACUUAUUAGGAUUUUUGGGAUGUUUGUGAAAUACAACCUCACCUUCCUUAACUAGGUACCGAGUGCAUUUGUGAGCAAGACAACACAUAAUAUGACAUAAGUCAUGAACCCAAUGUGAAAGUUUGAAGUAGAAGGUAUUGGAUUACAUUUGUGGUUAUUUAGAAUUGAUGGUGCAAGAAGGCAAGAAGGUUGAAUUUUGAUUUUUUGAUAGAGCUUUAGAUGGAGCUUUAAGUGGAAUUUCUACUAGUAAAUAAGGUAUGUACUUUGAUCUAAAUAUUGCAAAAAUAUUUCAAGAAUUUAAAUUAUUUAUACAAUAGUAAUAGGGCAAUGAUUGCAAAGAGGCUAUGGCAACCAAAGCAUUACAAGCAGUAAUUAACAAGGUUGUCCAAUUUGAUGGAAGGAAUAUUUUCAAAUAUUUAAGAUAUUAUGUUGUAAAAAUGGAAUUGAAUUGCAUUUCUAAAAAAGAGAUGAUUCAAUUAUUUGAGCUUGCUAUGGUAUAAGAGAUAAAAGAAUAUAUAAGGUCUAUUAUAAAACAAUUUAAAAGUUCAUGGGAGGUAUUUUCACAUGCAUUGAAGGAUGAAUAUUUUUUGGAAGAUACUGAUUGAGUUACUAAGAAAUAAUUCUUGGAAUAGAUUGAACGACCUAACAAAAAUUCGCAAGCUAUAAAAUUAAUAAGAGAAUUUGAAAGGCAAUUAUCUUGAUUAUCAAAAAUAGAAAAGUUAAUAAUGAGACCAAACAAGGUUGAAUUAUUUCUUCAAGCUACUGAUGGAGAAUUACAAGAGAAGUUAGAGAUUCUUCUUAAAGACAAAGAAGAAGAUGAAGGACUAACAACAAAGUGGAGGGCUAUUGAAGAUGCUAUUGGAUUACUUGCUAAAAAAGAAAUGAGAAAGGAUAGGGUUGGUGCUCAAAGAGUGGUAUAAGUAUUAAAGACCUCAAUGCCUACUACAUGAUUGAUUGUGCCUAUUGUCCAACCUCCAUAUGCUACACCAAAAAAAAAAGAUAUGGGACUUGAAGAAAUUGUAUAAAAGAUGCAAGAUCUUCAAAUCAAACUUGCAAGGCUUGAAGAGAAGACUUCUACAACAAGUUCAAAGGCUACUUAUAAACAAGGGUAUGUACAAAGAUAUAUUUGAUAUGGUGAUAAUUCUCAAUCUCGAAAAGAUUGAGGUGAAUUUGAUGAGAUGAUAUAACAAGAUAUUAUUUAUUAAAAAGAUAAGAAGGUUGCAUUGAAAGAUACUAGUGAUCUUCUUCAAACUAACUUUGAUAAAGGAGGCAUGAAAGUAUUGAUUAAAGAUUAUUUGGUGAUAUAUGGAAUUGUAGCAAUGGAAGUUGCAAGUCAUGGAACUAAAGUGGAUAAUGAUGGGAGACAAAAUUUUGUUAGAAAUAUCCAACCAAGUAGACUUUGGUUUUUUACUAUUUUUACCAUAUAAAAAGAGAAUUACAACUACAAAGGUAUUAGUAAGAUUGAAAAUAUGGACGAGCUAGUUGUUGCUUUGAUUGUCCAUCGUUCAUAGAUAAAUCAUAUAUCUAAGGAUUUUUAUAUGAAGCAAAGGUGGUCAAUUGAUAUGGAGCAUGGAUGGAUAAUACAGGCAGUCAAUAAUACAUGAGGGGAGUUAUAUAGUGCUUGUCUAGAUGUGAAAAUUCGGAUUGGUGAUGUUGCAAUGGAAUAGAAUUUUUUUUGUUCAAGAUGCAACAUCUUAUCCUCUUAUUUUGGAGCAAUCAUAUAUUAUUGCAACUCAAAUAGAAAAAAAGGUACUUGAUGAUGGUUUAACUUAUGCACGAAUUCAUAGUAAGGAUGGAAGGAAGGUAGUACAGUUUUUGACUAUGUCUCCAAAUCAUGAGCAGAAUCGAGACAAAUUGAGAGAAAAUCCAUUGCCAAAGUUUAUUGAAGGAUUCAAGGAUUUAUAGGAGGUACUAUUAUAAAGCAAGAUUAUAAAGGUACAAAAGAAGAGGUACUCUUGUAAGAUGUAGGUACCUUUAAUAGAAGAUUUAUUGAUAUUUUUAAAAAUAGAAGUAUUAUGUACAAGAAGAUUGAUGACUUAAAAAGAAAAGAAAGAAAGGAAUUAAGUACUAUUGAAAAAGAAUUGUAUAGAUUAGAAAUAUUAGAAGAUAAUGAAAAGAUUAGUGAUAUUUAUGAAAAAAAUGAACUGGAAGAUCUUUUGGAAUUGAUUGCAUCUAUUGGAUUAGGUAACGAUGAUAAAGUUAUAUCAAUUCACUCAAGAAAAAUUUAUGAUAUGAUUGAAUCUUUUCAAGUACCAGAGGUUAUAGUUGACACAAGAUAUAAGACAAUAGAUAAGAAGGUUAAACCACUUACUAGACUUUUACCAAAAGAUUUUAAAGAAAAAAUGGGAGAAAGAUCAAGAGAAAGGAGCUUGAGGGAUCUAAGGAAUAUUGGUCAUAAGUUUACUAAAGAGACUUUUAAAGAAUUGAAGAUUGAUUAUGAUGGUUCUUUAUUGCAAGAGAAAAUUAUUUACUUGAAAGAGAUGUUGGCAAAAGAAGGUAGAUCAUUUGCCUUUGAAUCUUAUGAAAUUGGGUGUAUACAUCCAAAUAUUAUAACGCCUAUGGUUAUUUUCACUGUACCAUAUGUACUUUAGAAUUUAAGAUCAAUUCCAGUAUCAAAGGCACAUUUACCAAGCUUGGUGGAAUUAUUAAAAGAAAAGAUGAUGAUGAAGAUUUUGAAGCCUUUUUUUGUACCAUAUUCUAGUUGAUAGUUUAUAGUGCCUAAGAAAAAUGGAUCAUUACAUUUUAUUCAAGAUAUGCAAGCAGUGAAUGCGAUAACUAUGAAGAAUGGAGGAAUUAGGCCUAUAGUAGAUGAAUUUGCUUAGACAUUUAUAAGAAAGGUGAUCUAUUCAAUAGGUAAUUUGUAUUUAAGCUAUAACCAAUUUCAACUUAUAGAAGGAAGUAGAGAUAUGACAACAAUGAGAACACUAUUUGGAUUAGUUAGAAUGUAUACUCUUCUUUAAGGCGCAACCAACUCACUUACACAUAUGAUGAAUGGGAUGAAUAAGGUAUUGAGAGAUUUUAUUCUUGAGAAGACUAUGCCUUUUUUAGAUGAUGUUCCUAUAAAGGAGUGCAAAGAAGAAGACAAGGAUGAAACUUUAGAUAAGAAGGGAUGUCGCAAGUAUGUUGCUGAUCAUAUAUAAGAUUGUAAAAAAAUACUGAUUCAGCUUGGAAAAAAUCAUCUUAUACUAUCAAGUAUAAAAUCUAUACUUGGAAUACAAGAGGUUGUGAUUGUUGGAGAUUUAUGUAAAUUUUAUGAAAGAAAAUCAAAUCCAACUAAGGUUGAUGUGAUUGAAAGAAUGAAAGAGGAUUGUAGUUUUUUAAUAGAAAUUUGUAGGUUUUUAGGUAUGUAUGUAUUUUAUCGUAUUUAGAUUCUUCAUUAUGCUCACAUAGCAGAUCCAUUGUAUAAACUAUUAUGCAAUGACUAUCAAUUUAAAUGGAAAGAAAAGUAUGUUGAAGUAGUACAAAGAUUAAAAAAAUUAUUGACAUUGCCUCUACUAUUGAAAAAAAUUGAUUAUAAGUGUAAUAAAUCAGUGAUUCUUAUAGUGGAUACUAGUCCAAUUGCCAUUGGAUGGAUUGUAGGUCAAGAUGAUUUGAAUGGACACAGAUUUGCAAUACAAUUUGGAACUAAGAUUUUAAAUACUCGCCAAUGUAUAUAUUCACAGGUGAAAAAAGAACUAUUGGGAGUUGUUUCAGCUAUGAAAGCUAAAAAGGAUUAUUUGAUUGGAGCUAUGGUAGAAAUUGAAACAGAUUAUUUGCCUUUACUUGGAAUGAUUACCAAUUGUAUAACACCAAAUAUUUUGAUGUUGAGAUCGAUUGCUUAUAUCAAAUUACUAAAUCUAAAAUUUAGGCAUGUUUCAAGGAAAGACAAUCCAAUAGCAGAUAUGUUAUCUUGAGCAGUAUAUGAAAGAAAAGACUAGAUGGUUGAAGAUAUUGAUGAUAUUGGAACAAAUUCUAUUCAAUAUCAAAUCUUAAUAAGAAAGAAAAGAUGUUUUUUGAAGAGCUUUAUGAAGGAGAAUUAUAAGAAAUUAGUCUUUAUUUGAAUACUUCAUCUAAACAUGAAAAUUGGUCAAUAAAAAAAUUUAAUCAAAUUAGAAAAAAGACUUAUGGAUUUUUGCUUUAAGAAGGGUUCUUAUAAAAGAAACUAAAGAAAGGAAUUGGAAUACCAAGACGAGUAGUAAGUAUCAAAGAAGAUCAACAAAGACUACUCUAAAAGUUUUAUGAAAAUCUAUGGGCAGGACAUAGAGGAAUUUGGGCUACUUUUGCUAAAUUGAAGGAACAAUAUUGGUAGUAGAAUAUGUAUCAAGAUGUAACUUCAUUUGAAGAAUCUUAUAUAAUUUAUCAGAUAUAUUCAAAUAUAUGACAUUGAGAUGGGUUACAUCUGACAUAUCCUUUGGCUAUUCAUUUUAAAUGGAUUGUAGUUUUGAUUAUUAUGUCGAUGGGACUAUGACAAAUGAAAUAUUUAAUUUUGGCUCAUAAAGAUUUAUCAAACCAAGUAGAAGGUAGAACACUAAAAAUAAAGUCCACAGAGAGAAUUUGUAGGUUUUUACUUGAGGAUGUUAAUUGUAGCUAUAGAUGCGUAGGAAAGAUUAGUGAAAAUCAUAGAAAAUUGGAUGUAUAUGAAGCUCGUGAAUUUUUUAAGAGAUGUAGGAUUAAAUUAUCAUUGACUACUACUUAUAAUUCAAAAGGAAAUGCAAAGAGUGAAUGUGGACAUCUACCAAUUAUAAAAGCCUUAGUUAAAGCUUGUAAUGGAAGAGUAAAAGAAUGGCCUCAACUUUUACCUUAUGCAUUAUGGACUAAUUGAACAACACAUAGUUUAGUAACCGGAUAUAUGCCAGUGGAACUUAUGACAAGUCAAAAAUCAAUUAUGCCAAUUGAAGAGCAUGUGCCCACUUAGAAUAUGCUACCAUGGAAAGAUGCGUAAACAAGGAAGGAAUUGUUAGCUAUUAGAAUUCAGCAACUUAAACAAAGAUUGAAAGAUGUCAAAUAAGUAUUAGAAAGGUUACAAAAGACAAGGUUAAGAAAUAAGACUCGAUUUUAUAAGCAACAUUGGAUGAGGCCUAGAACAAUUAAAGAUGGUGAUUGAGUACUUAUUUAUGACAGUGUUCUAAAUAACCAAUAUAGUGCUUUGUGGAAGUUUUCAAAAUAUUGGUUUAGACCAUAUGUGGUAGUAAUGGUUCAUGAUAAUGCCACAUAUUCAUUAAGAGAGUUAGAUGGUACGAGGUUGAAGAUACCUAUUAUUAAAAAGUGAAAGAAGAUUUUUAAAAGAUGAGAUAGAGAAAUCAAUAUGGAAGAUCAUGCUUAAGAUAUCAAUACUUUUGAAGAAGAAAAUUAUUUUGAAGAAGAUGAUAAAAAUAAAAAUGAAAUUUUUGAUGAAAAAAUAGAGAAAUGGAGUGAUGCCAAUUAUGGCAUAUAAUUCAUUUGGCCCAUGCUAGAGGAUACACAUGUUAAGAGGGAUUAGAUGUCAUAAUUUGACAUAAUUAUAUAGUAAAAAUAUGACUAAAAAUAAUUUUUUAAUUAAUGCUCUAUUAUAUCAGUUCAACAAGAAUUCAAAAUAUUGUCAUAAGACUUUUAUGAAAGCUUCUUAGCCUAUUUUCUUGUCUUAAUAGCAAGUAGAUAAAAGUUAGUUAGUAUUUUUAUCUUCUAAAAUAUAAAAACUCUUUUAGUGCCUUAGAAAGGCCAUAAAUUGAUAAAAUCAGGAUAGAAGAGGUAAAUGGUUGAUAUGGUUGAUACAAGGAUCAAAUUGAAGAUAAGAUUGAACUAAAAAAUCCUUAGGAUAGAUUAGAUUGAUAUCCAAUGGUUGACCAUUUGUAAGAUAGGGUCAAAAUCAGAUCUUUGGUUACUAAAAUGACUACCUAAGAAAAAUUAGAGAGGCAUUCAAAGAUCAAAGGUUAGGAUUUGAGAGCUAGCUUAAAGCUCUUUUUAAAGGCAUAAAGAUUGUUUUAGUAGGAUUUUUGAAGACUUAGAAAUUAUUGUUCAAAUUUAAGAUUUACAUUGGUGAUUUGGAUUUUAUAUAAUAUAAUUAGAACUAGUAAUUUUGGCUAGUUCAUACAAUUAGUGUAGCAUCUACAAUUCAAAAUUUGAUACUAUUUGGAUUAUUUGGUAUGCUAAGUGUAUACAAAAAUUUUUCAUAAUCUAAUAAUGUGGUUUAGAGAUAUCUAGUUUUUAGCACAAGAAGGUUUUGGAAGUUGGUAGUUUGGAGUUGGGUAGGAUUUCUAUGAUAUCUGGAGAUCUACUAGCUUGAAUCAAGCUGAAAUUUGGCAUAGUAUUAAAGGACUUGAAGAUCAAGGUGUACACCAAUUUUGAUUCAAAGUUAAUAGUUGAAGAAGGAGAAAUCACUAUUGGAAUUUUUGCUUCACUUUUCAAUUUGGCAACCGAGUGACAUUAGUGUAAUUUUUGGAGGUUUUCUCACAAUCUGUAAGUUGGAUUGGGCUGAAAAUUCUUAAGCAUAUAGAAGACUUAUAUUGACGAUUUUAUGCAAAAUUUUACAUCAAGUGGAAAGUUACAUUAGAAUUUACAGCUUAUUAAAGUUCACUAAUUAGGAUUGGGGCUUAUAAGAAAAAUCUAAAUUGCUUAAAUAUAAAAGUAAGGUAAUUGAGGUUUAUGUGUGAUCAAGGCUACUAAGAAGAAUUUUUUUCUACAAUUUUGAAUCGGAAAUUGGAUUAUAUUGUCAUGGCCAUAAUCAUGUAAGCUAAUAAUUACAUAUAGAAAUAGGUAGAAGUAAGUAAAAGUAGAUAAAAGUAAGUUAAUUCUAUAAUAUUUAAUAUAAAAGCUUCCUAGAAACUUUUUAGACGCUGUUUUGACUUCAUAGGUGUCUUUAAUUGACUUUUUGGAUUAGAAACGUGGUCAACAAGUUGGCCAUGUGUCACACAUGUUGUUAGCUUGAAGAUCAAGCUAACUAUAUGGCCGACACGUAGAAAAACUUACCUUGUAAGUGAAGGCAUGUGUCCUACAAAGUCAACACAUAUUGGAGGUCCUAUAGAACGUCGCCACGUAGCCCCUAGUUAGAUAGUAUAUAUAGAGACAAGAGUGAAGGCUUCUUCACUCUUGUCAACUCCUUUCUUGCUUCUAGUCUAGUUUCAAGGGUCUCUAGUUUUCUUGUCUUUUGGCAAUAGCCAUUCUAGUUUCUCUUUCAAUAUAUAUACUUGUUUAUUUAUAUUUUGUUACCUCUCUUUGAGUGAAGGCUCACUUGUCUGAAUUGUUUUUUCAUUGAGUUCUUGUCCUUGACAGAUUGACAAAAGUACACUUACAAUAUCAGAGCUUUAUUUUUCUUGAGUAAGAGUGGAUUACCUCUUUCUCUUAACAAGACAUAAGCAUAUUAGAAGUUUCCGGAUUACACACUUCUAAACUAAUAUUGUUCUUAGUAUCUUCUUUGUUAUCAAGUCUUUCUUUUCUUUUAUCUUGAGCAGUAUCAAACAAAUUUUUCUUCUUAGUGUCAUUAUGGCAGAGCUAGUUGAAAUGAAGAGUGCAAUGGCACAAAUGCAAGAGCAAAUGAGGGAGUUAAUGCUUGCGAUGCAUCAACUCAAUUCACCAACACAUGAAAGAACAAGAAUAGCAGAAAGUGGGGAUAUAGAGAUGAUCGGAGCUGCUUCAACAUCUGUAACAAAUCACGUUCCUUCUCCAAUUGUACAACACCCUAUAAGUACUAGAGAACCAAGAAUUGCCUUACCCGAGAAAUUUGAUGGUACGAGAUCAAAGUUUCAAGGGUUCAUCAAUCAAGUACAAUUGGCAAUUGAACUUCAACCACAAAGCUAUCCAACUCCAGGAUCACAAGUCAGGUUUAUUGGCACUCUACUUUCUGGUUCUGCAUUAUCGUGGUUUUCGUCUUUUCUUGAACAACGAAAUCCAAUAUUGGACAAUUUGGAAGCUUUUUUGGCGGAGUUUUGAUCUAUGUAUGGUGAACAUGAUGCAACUCGUGUUGCAACAAAUAAGAUCCGAAUUCUGCGACAAGAAAAUCGCUUAGUAAUAGUGUAUGCUUCACAAUUUUGACAACUUAUAAUUGACAUCAGGUGGGAUGAUGCUGCACUCAUCAUUCAAUUUCUUUAUGGAUUGCAAUACGAAGUAAAGAAAUUGAUGCUCAACUUACUUGAUCCUCAAACUUUGAGUCAAGCAAUCGAUUUUGCGGUAAAAUGUGAUAAUCGACUUUUCGAAUUUCGAUCCAAGAAUCAUUCACGAGAACCUCAACGUUAUUAGUCAAUGGCAACAUCAACAUCUUUGCCAAACGUACAUACAGAAGUAGAAGACAUGUAAAUUGACACGGUAUGUUUUAAACCCCUAACUGAGCAAGAAAAGAUUCGUCGUCGUCAAGAAGGAUUAUGUUUAUAUUGCGGAGAACCUAAGCACACUACUCAACAUUGUCCAAAGAAAUGAUAUAACUAUAAAAUGAGGGGUACGACGGUCAAAGAAGACAACAUGUCAGAAAACGGAUUCGUCCAGCUACAAUAGGGACCAUGCAGCUGGAACCUUGUACAAUUCCUAAUGAAGGUCCUAUCUUCUCCUCAUAACCCUCUCCUUGUUUUAUAAUAGACUUAUAUUUAGGACCUAAGAAUUACAAAGCCUCUGCCUUAUUAGAUUCAGGAGCCUCAGCAUGUUUUUUAGAUGAACAAUUUAUUAAAAGUUGUAAAAUACCCUUUGUACAGAAACCUAAACCAGUACAUGUAGAAGUCAUAGAUGGUCGUCCCUUGUCUUCUGGAGAUGUCACUCAUGAAACUCAUCCUAUAAAAGUAACAAUAGACGGUCAUGAUAGCUAUAUAGCUUUUAACAUAAUUAAAUCCUCGUCCAAUCUAGUUAUUUUAGGUUUAUCCUGGCUAGAAAAAUAUAACCCUCAAAUAGAUUAGAAUUCACGUAAACUUGACUUUUCCUAGAGCGUUAUUAAUAGUUCUACCAACCAAGUAAAAAAUUAUAAGUCUAGUAUAGUAAAACUCGUACUGAUAGGUACAAAAGCAUUUAUACACGCAGCAAAAAAAGGAUCAACUUUUGCUAUUUAUGCUGCACCUAUUUCUGAAAACGUAAAGACUUCAAGUGGCAUUCCAAGUCAAUAUCAGGAUUAUCAAGACGUUUUUGAGAAAAAGAAUGCAGAUAUCCUUCCUGAGCAUCGCCCAUAUGAUUGUUCAAUCGACCUCAAGGAAGGAACUCAACCACCAUUUGGACCAAUUUACAGUUUAUUCCAAGAUGAGAUGGCUAAACUCAAGACAUAUAUUGAUGAGAAUUUAGCAAAGAAUUUCAUACGCCAUUCAAAAUCUCCAGCAGGAGCUCCAAUUCUAUUCGUAAAGAAAAAAGAUGGAUCUUUACGAAUGUGUGUUGAUUAUCGAGGAUUCAACAAGAUCACAAUCAAGAACAGGUAUCCAUUACCUUUGAUAUCAGGACUCCUUGACCAGUUGAAUCAAGCUAAGAUCUAUACAAAAAUAGAUCUAAGAGGAGCAUAUAAUCUAAUACGGAUCAAAGAAGGAGAUGAAUGGAAGACUGCAUUUCGAACUAGGUAUGGACAUUUCGAAUAUAAUGUCAUGCCCUUUGGACUCACGAAUACACCAGCUGCUUUUCAACAUCUCAUGAAUGAUGUAUUUCGUGAAUUCUUAGACAAUUUUGUCGUCUGAUAUCUAGACGAUAUCCUGAUCUAUUCUAAGAACGUUGAAGAACAUGAAAUACAUGUUCGUCAAGUAUUACAAAAACUUAGAGAUGCAAGAGUGUACGCCAAGAUGGAAAAGUGUGUAUUUCACACUACUCAAGUUGACUUUUUAGGAUACAUCAUUUCAAAUGAUGGUCUCAUGAUGGAUUCUAAGAAAGUCCAAACAAUCAUGAAUUGGAAGAUUCCAAGGACAGUAAGAGAUGUCCAAUGUUUCUUGGGAUUUGCCAAUUACUAUCGGAUCUUCAUCAAAGAUUUCUUACGAGUUGCAGCUCCACUUACACGCUUGACUAGUAAAGAUAAAUUCCAAUGGAAUCAAGAAGCGGAAGCAGCAUUUGAAGCCUUGAAGACAUCGUUUGUCUCUGCACUAGUCUUAUAUCGUGUUGACUUUUCCAAGGCAUUUUUUAUGGAAACAGAUGCAUCAGAUUUUGCCUUGGGUGUAGUUUUAUCACAAAUGUGAACAGAUGACAAAUUUCAUCCGAUAGCUUUUCAUUCAAGAAAAUUCUCAGCAGCCGAGAUCAAUUAUGAGAUCCAUGAUAAAGAACUUCUUGCGAUCGUGGAUUCCUUUCAAGAAUGGCGUCAUUAUCUAGAAGGCGCUUCUAGUCCAGUCACUGUAUAUACAGAUCACAAGAAUCUCAAGUAUUUCAUGUCAGCACGCGUAUUGAAUCGGCGUCAAGCUCGUUGGAGUAUGUCUUUGUCAAGAUUCGAGUUCAUUAUCACUUAUCGGCCAAGAAAACAACAAAAUUUGUCCAAUGCCCUAUCUAGACGUUCUUAUUUUGCACCAAAAGAAGGAGAUGCAGCUUUUGAGCAACAAAGAAUGGUCCUCUUGAAACCGGAGCAAUUUCAUCUCCGAGCAAUGAAAUCAACAUUGAUGGUUGAUUCAACUUUUCUCAAGCAAAUCCAGUCCAGUAUGUCCUCAGACCUUCUUGUUUAUGAUAUCGAGAAUAAUUCUUCCAAGUCUCAUGAUCCUUCUAAGUUCGAGUUCAAGAAUAAUCUAUUAUAUUUUGAAGGACGCCUAUAUGUUCCAGAAGGAGAAGCACGUUUACGUGUUCUUCAAGCAUGUCAUGACUUUCCAGCAGCAGGGCACUUUGGAUAUAAUAAGACUUUGGAACUCAUAUCAAGAGAUUUUUGGUGGCCACAAAUGUGGAAGUCAGUCAAAGACUUUGUACAAUCAUGUGAUAUUUGUUCAAGAUCAAAAAUUCCUCAUCAUCGACCUUACGGACUUCUUCAGCCAUUACCUAUACCAGAACAACCAUGGUCUUCUGUUUCUAUGGAUUUCAUUACAGAUCUUCCAAGCUUAAGAUCUUAUGAUUCUAUAUCUGUGAUAGUAGAUCAUUUCACCAAGAUGGCACAUUUUGUGCCAUGUACAAAAUCUAUCAUAGGUGAAGAAAUAGCUAAGCUUUUCAUUGAUAAUAUCUAUCGCUAUCAUGGAUUACCUAAAGAUAUCAUAUCGGAUAGGGGAACUCAAUUUGUGUCAAGAUUCUGGAGGACCCUUUUCAAGAUUUUAAAAGUGGACAUAAAGCUAUCUUCGGCUUUCCAUCCUCAAACUGAUGGACAAACAGAGCGCGUAAACCAAGUCUUGGAGCAAUAUUUAAGGUGUACUAUUAACUACCAACAAGAUGAUUGGACAACUCUUCUGCCAUUGAUAGAGUUUGCUUACAAUAAUACGGUACAUUCUUCCACGCAGCAAACACCUUUCUUUACCAAUUAUGGCUAUCAUCCACGACUUGAUACUUUUGAUUUUUCAAAAGUUGAUAAUCCUGCAGCAGAAGAUAUGGCAAAUCGGUUGUCAGAGUUACAUGCAAUAAUGAAGACGCAAUUGAAGGAAGCUCAAGAACGACAAAAGAUAAAUGCAGAUCUAUAUCGUAAGGAGCAACCACAAAUCAACGUGGGUGAUAAGGUAUGGCUACUUCGUCGCAACAUCAAGACUACUCGACCUUGUGACAAGUUGGACUAUCGUAGGCUUGGCCCCUUUUCUGUUUCUGAACAGAUCAACCCAGUUGCAUAUCGGUUACAUCUACCGGAGUCAAUGAAGAUCCAUCCUAUAUUCCACGUGUCUCUUCUUGAACCAUAUAAGACAAUGGAUAUACAUGGAAGAAGACAAAUGCCACCGCCUCCUAUAGAAGUAGAUAAUAAUGAAGAAUUUGAGGUGGAAGAGAUAUUAGACUCAAGGCGGUGCCGAAAUAAGCUGGAAUAUCUUGUUCAUUGGCGCGGAUAUGAUAUUAGUGAAUGCACAUGGGAGCCAUCCAGGAAUCUAGCAAAUGCAUCAGCUAAAGUCAAAGUUUUUCAUCAACGACAUCCAUCAAAACUAAGAUGAAAAUCUCUCUUAUAAAAGAGACAAGAUUGAGGCAAGAUAACAUUCAAUUUCCUAUCCUUGUUUGUAACUUCUUUGUAUUUGUGAUGCUAAUUAGAUGGAGAGCCAACAACCAGCGGAUUCAACUCAAGAACCUUUGGACGAGACAUUACGAUUAUCACAACCUUCAAGACGACGCAAUCGAGAUGAAGAUCUUCAAGAACGACAUGUUCUUCCUCGAAUAGAUGGUGAGAUACAAUGCGUUUGGUAUCACGAUUUAGGAAGGGACUCCCGAUGUUUGGUGAUUUUGCUAGAAGUAGGAAUAACUCCUGAUGGUGUUCCAAAUAUUGUAUUCGAAGGAAGUUACGAAGGCCUCAACAAUGAUCAAAUAACUGGGUGGUCUUCCCGCCCUGGUAUGGGACACUACCGAUGGUUGAGAGGCCCUAUCAAUCAUCUUCGAAGAGAACAGAGAUCAGAGUAUGUGGCGAAUACAAUUCGUCGCAUCAUAGAUUUCCUCAACAUAUGAUGACCGCUCCUCGUAGAACUCGUCUCUAGAAGGGGGGGUAAUGUCACUGCCAUAAUCAUGUAAGCUAAUAAUUACAUAUAGAAAUAGGUAGAAGUAAGUAAAAGUAGAUAAAAGUAAGUUAAUUCUAUAAUAUUUAAUAUAGAAGCUUCCUAGAAACUUCUUAGACGCUGCUUUGACUUCAUAGGUGUCUUUAAUUGAUUUUUUGGAUUAGAAACGUGGUCAACAAGUUGGCCAUGUGCCACACAUGUUGUUAGCUUGAAGAUCAAGCUAACUAUGUGGCCCACACGUAGAAAAACUUAUCUUGUAAGUGAAGGCAUGUGUCCUACAAAGUCAACACAUAUUGGAGGUCCUAUAGAACAUCGCCACGUAGCCCCUAGUUAGAUAGUAUAUAUAAAGACAAGAGUGAAGGCUUCUUCACUCUUGUCAACUCCUUUCUUGCUUCUAGUCUAGUUUCAAGGGUCUCUAGUUUUCUUGUCUUUUGGCAAUAGCCAUUCCAGUUUCUCUUUUAAUAUAUAUACUUAUUUAUUUAUAUUUUGUUACCUCUCUUUGAGUGAAGGCUCACUUGUCCGAAUUGUUUUUUCAUCGAGUUCUUGUCCUUGACAUAUAUUCUUAUCAUAUGGAUGAAACCUAUUAGGAUUUUUUGGAUGUUUGUAAAACACAACCUCACCUUCUAUAGCUAAGUGCCUGAUGCAUUUUCGAGCAAGACAACACGUAAUAUGACAAUAGAACUUGAGAUAUUACUAAAACCCUAAUAGUAAAUUCAAACCCUUACUUACAUACAUCUUUAUAUAAUAUUCUUUAUAUUUCACAAAUUAAAUACUCAAUUACCAUAAAAUUUUGAUAUAUAUAGCUUCUUAAUUUAAUAUCAAAGACUUUUAGAUAUUUUGAGCCAAAAAUUCUUUCAAAAAUUCAAGACAUGGCUCCAACUAUUUCUAUCAACAAAAUGACUCACUUACUACCUUUGGAUUACAUAUGCUGUCUUUAAUAUUCUAUAACUUCUUUGUAUAAAUUUUAAAUGCAAAAUUUCUUUUAUAAAUAAUAUAGAUUUUGAAAUCACUCUUCCGAUAGCACCUCUCAAUCUCCAAAAUCUAUCAUAAAAUUCCUUGUAUCCUCAAAAGACCAAUAAUAUAUCUUAAAAAGAUACCUUAACUUCCAAUGACUAUAAUUUCAUCACCUUGACUCCAAAUCCUCUAAAAUUUUCACAUUCAUUAUAAUCCAAAUCCUAAACCUUGUAAUCUUUGCUUUUAAUUCUCAAAAUGUACCUUUUGAAGUCGCCAAAAUCCUUGUUAUGGUCAUAGAAAACUUAUUGAAUGCCUAUUGGACAUGGCUUUCAACCAAUAGGGAUGAAGAUUUUUACUUUUAGCCUUCAUUCAUCCAUAAUUUGCUUUCAUCCUUCCAAAUAAGCUUUUUAAGGUUUGGAACUUCAUCUUUAAGUUUCAAUAUUUUCUUUAAAUUUUAUACUAAAUAUCUAAAUUUUAUAUAUUUUAAAUACUAUAAUCAAUAUAUAUAAACUUUAAAAUAAAUUUUCUUACAUCAAUUAUCUUUAUAUUAAUUUACUAACCACUCUAUGAUACAUAAAAACUUAUAAAUAUAUUAUAUAUUUUAGUUAAUUUUUGCAUACAAUAAAUAACUAUAAUACAACAACGUGAAAGUGGAUAUGUAUUUUUUUGAUAUUCUACUCACUAAUGCCUUGAUAAUCAAUGCAAAGCCAAAAUCUACCAUCCUUUUUGGAUGCAAAGAAUAUAGAUACUCCUUAGAGUGAUGUGGUUCCUUGAAUAAGAUCUUUUUUUAAGAGUUCUUUCAAUAUCUUUUGGAAAUUUUUAAGUUCAUUUGAUGCUAAGCAAUAAAUUGACCAACUUGCUAAUUUGGUUCCAAACAAUAAUUCUAUUUAAAAGGAGGUACCUUAAUCAAUUAGCAUGUCACUAAGUAAGUUAAUUAGAAAUAUAACUUGAUAUUUAUUUAUGAAUUGUUCAUAAAUAAAAGAUAUUUAUUUUUUUGUUUUUAGCCAUGGCAUAUUAAGAAUAAUAUUAUAUUUGAGUCUUAUUACCUUAAACUUCUCUUUCAAAGCAUAAGUAUCAUUCAACUUCAAGAUUUCUUCUUUACAUGUCUCACUUAAUAUGUUCACUUGAUUAUCAACUAAGUAUAUACUUCUUCUUUUGAUUACUUUGGUUUUAAUCUUAAGUCGAUCAACAAUCUUAAUCAAGAUGUAAUUUUUUGUACAUCUACAAUCUAUAAGUACUUAACAUAGUUGUCCUCUUAGUCGACCCACUAGAUACACCAAUCAACCCUUUUGAUAGUUGUUUGAAGUCAUAUGAUUUUCUUUUGAGAGACAAUAGUUAUUCCUAUUAUUAGUUCUCAGUGCAUUUACUAGAAAGCUUUGUUUUUCUAUUCCACUUUUUUAUCAUCUUGGUGAGCCUUGAGAUUAUAAAUCCACCUUCAUUUGUUGAUACUUAAAUUUUGAUAUUUUAAACAAUCUUAGAUCUAAUGGCAUAGCUUCCAACAAUAAUAAUACAAUUCCUUUUGUACCAAUAUUUUUGGUCUUUGUGGUAUCAAUAGUCCUUAUAAGGUGUCAAUCUCUAUUGAUGUUGGUUGUUGUGCCAUAGUAUUAGAUAGUGGCAUAGGAUUUUGUUCUAUAGGUUGGGCUCCACAAUUUCUAAAAUCUAUAGCAUCAACCAUCUCUAUAAUUUUAACUGCCUCAUCAAAUGUUUGUAGAUCCUUUAAUUCCACCUCUUGCUAAACCACAACUUUUUAUCCUUGUAAAAAUUAAUCCAUCAUCUUUGCCUCUGAAAUAUUAAAAAUUUAGAGACAUAGGAACUUGAAUUAAUAAACAUAAUCUUAUAUUGACCUAAAUUAUAUAAAAUUAGCCAAUUGAUCACAUGCUAAUUUCUUUCCAUUGAUGGGCCAAAAUUGAUUCUUAAGUUUAGUCUAAAAUUCAAUCUAAUUAUAAAAUCUACUUUAAAUUUUAUAAUAUUAAAUUUCAUAUUACUACCAAAUAUUUGUCACAUCUUUAAAAUAGCUAGCCAUAUAUAUAUAUAUAUAUAUAUAUAUAUAUAUAUAUAUAAUUCUUUAAGUAGUGCUUGUCUAAAAUACUUGGAGGUAUUUUCGCAUACUUAAGAGCCAUUAUCAUAUAUCUUCUUACCUUAAAGUUUCAAAAUAUGUUUUGUACUUGCUUAAUUUCAGCCUAGCAAAUGUCAAUUUUCUUGCCUAGAAGCUUCUAAUUAUCUUUGUACAUUAGAUAUUUGAUCUAGAAGGUGUUGUAUCUGAGCUUCUAUUCGGGAUGGCUUUGUCAUAUCUUCCAUGCUAUAAUUUUCUUAUAAAAUUUUGCUACUAUUGUUGUAUUACAUGAAACCUUGCUUGAGAAUGCACCAAGCAUUUGGCUAUGGAAGGUAGAAAGAGUAUUGUAACAACAAGAUUUUAAUUUUAAUAGAAUUCUAAAUAAUUUUAAUUAAAUCUUAACAAUACUAAUUAAGCUUUAAUCAAUCUAAAGAAACAUCAAAGAAAUUAUGAAAAAAGCGUGAAAAAAUUUUAAAGAAAUUCAUAGAAAGUAUUAAAAUAAAAUCUAAAAUAUAUCUUAAAAAAAUUUUAAUCAAAUCUUAUUUUGAUCCUGGUUAAAAUUCUAAUAGUAUUUAAUUAAAUCCUACAUUAAAUCCUAACUAAAUCCUAAAAAAACCUUAAAUCCUAACCAAUUCCUAAAUCCUAAAUCAAAUCCUAAUCAAAUUAAUUUAAUCUUGAGGCACUUCAAAACCUCAAUAUCUAUCAAUUAUAUUGUUGAUCUUACUUAAGAUUUUAUACACCUUUUAAAAACUAAGUUGGCAAUAAGUACACAAAAUUUGAAGAAGAUUAAACAUACCAAAUAGAAGAUCAACUCUAAAUUCCGUUCAAGUAUUAGGCAGCCUCCUACUCUAAUCUAAAUAUUGAAUCUCUAGUACUAAUAUCUCCUUCUUGAACCAUUGAAUUGCCUCCAAAAUAUACUUAAGUUGUAAGAAAUCAAGUCUAGUCUCUAUAUAUAAAAAAAAUACUUUAAUCCAAUCAAUGAAUUGCUAAAGAUCUUAAAAAUACUCAUUGAUCCUCAAAUUUUUUUUUUUAGACCUUAAAUCACAAAAACCUUCACAGACUUUGAUCUAAUUAGUUUAUUGACCUCAAAAUCUUUUUAUACAUACUAACAAUUAGAACACCAACAUACUCUCUAAAAUUCACCCAAAAUUACAUCAUAAAACUCAAAAAAUCUUCAAUUUUGUAAACAUAGCUUUAUAUUUUAAAAUCUAAGCCAAUCAAAAAUAUUAUUAACUUUGAAAAUCUCCCUAAAAUUGAAUAUUAACUCAAUUGAUAUAAAAAAAUGCUCAAAAAUCUCUUUAUUUAUGUACUCUCAAAUACCAUUCUUGAAUCUACCAAAGAACUGUAGAAUCAUUAUAGAUAUGUAGUUUUGUACAUCAUGGUUUGAUUUUGAUUGAGGUUGACAAUUGGUCCUUUUUGAGUAUUAAUAUUUGGUAAUUUAAGAUAAUUUUUACUUGAAGCUAUUCUUACUACCCUUUUAAACAUGUCUAUCUCAAUUACUUAUCUCAUUUACUUAUCUCAUUUACUUUGAUUUGAGGUAUUUAUGUCCUUACAAAGCAAAUAGAAGCCUCUUCUCUAAGAGGCACCAUUAAGACUAAACUUUUUAUUACCUUUCUAUUAUUUAUGCUUGUUUUUCUAUGACAUCUUCCUAUUAGGUUCUUCUAUAACAAUAUCCAUGUUUUUAUUUUUCACCAUGUAAUUGUGUUACUACAUGACACCAUAAUGUCUUUUAUCCUUUCAAUUGACUUUUUAAAAGUAGCUCAUGGUAGCUCCAAAAUAUUAACUAGUGUGACCACAACAAUUGACUUCUAAUUAGAUAGUGGCUAUUAAUACACUAUCAAAGAACACACUAAUACUUGCUUUAAUAUCAAUGAAAUAGGAUUAAAUUCUCCUAAAGAUCUAAGAUCCUUUAAAUUUAUAGCAAUAUAAAUCUUAUCACAAAGUAAGAUAAAAUGGAUUCGAAUAAAAUUGAACAAAAUUAAAUAAAAUAGAAUAUAAAAGAUAAAAUAGAGAAAAAAAAAUAGAAUAAAAUAAAAUAAAAAAUAUAAACCAAAAUUUAUUGAAAGAAAAGAACGAAAGCCAUACUUGACCAAAUAUUCCAAAUGGCUUCAAUUAGUUUUAUUUAUAUUUUAUCCAAUUAUUGUGAAAUUUUUUUAAAUAUUUUUAAUGAUGGAUAUUAUCAAAAUAACCACUCUUCUAAAAUAUUUUAGAAGUAAGUCCCACCUAUAUAUUUUUCUUUAGUUCUUCUAAGAUAUUCUACAAUAGAUUCUAUAUGAACUAUCAAUUAGGCCUCAAUUUUAAAAUCUUCUAAAAACUUCUAAAAACUUUUCAAAAAUAGCUCCAAUUACCUAUAUCUACUUAUCAAUAAUACAAUUGUCUUAUCCAUGCCCCAUUAUAAUAAUUGAAAGCUCACAAUUAAGAAGGAUUGCAAUAAAUUUAGAAAUAUAAUGCAACAAAGAGUUAUUUUUUGAAAAGAUGUGAAGGUGGCAUUAAAAGAUACAAGAAACCUCUUUUAAAUCAAUUUUGGCAAGGGAAGUAUGUCACUAUUGAUUCAGAAUUAUUUAAUAGCACAUAGAAUAGCAACACAAGAAAGUGCAAGUUAUAGUAUUAGGAUAGUUAAUGACUUUAACAAAAGUAUAAAAAUAAGUAGAUUUUAGACUUUGGCCAUUUUUAUAAUAUAAAAUGAAAAAAUUAUUAAAAAUUAUAGCUAUAAUACAAGAUGCAAUAGGUUGAAAAGAUCCUAUAUAGGCUCUUUUAAAUUAUGCAUAUAUUGUUAAGAGCUAACAUAAAGCUUUGAUGGAAGGAAAGAAGAAAUUUUGACAAUAUAAGAUAAGGAAAUUCUUCUAAGAAGCAAACUUGAGGAGAUAAAGCUUAUGAUGUGGUUUUAUAAGAAUUUCCUAUCAAAGAUAUUUCAAUAAUAUUAGAAAAAAAAUAAAAGAGAUAAAAGAUAAAGAUAAAUAAAUAAUUUACAAAAAACUCUCUAAUAUUAGAGAAGUAAUAGAUUUAAAAGAAGUAUUUGAAGAACGUAUAUUAAAUGCUAAAGUGGAGUUCAAAAUAAAAGCGAUUUUAGGAAUUAUAAAGAAAGAAUUUUAUGAUGUUAUUAUUGAUAAUAUUAUAAAAAAAUAUAAUUAAUGAAUGAAGCUAAAAUGAAACAUGCUAUUGAUGUGCGGAUAUAUAUAUGGAUGGAGAGGAGGCUAAAAAUUAUUAUAAGCAACAAUCAAGUAAAAAAAAUAGUAAUAUUCAAUAAAUACAUUUUGAAGAUUAUAGUAACAAGGAAAUAGAAGCUUCAAGCUAUUAUACACAAAAGCAUUGAAUAAAAACAACUACAAAAGUAUUGGUAAAGGUAGGAGAUAUAGAAGAACCAAUUAUUGCUUUAAUUAAUCACAAUUACAAGAUAAAUCUUAUGUCUAAUGAUCUUUAUAAGAAACAAAGGUGGUUAAUUCUUAUGGAGCAUGGAUAGACAAUACAAGUAACUAAUAAUACACAAGAUGAAUUAUAUGGAGCUUGUUUAGAUAUAAUAAUCUAAAUUAGAAAUUUUGUAAUAGAAUAAUAUUUUUAUACUCAAAAUAUAACAUCUUAUUCAAUAAUUUUAGGACAAUAAUAUAUUACAAAAAUAUAGAUGGAAACAAAAGUAUUUAAUGAUGGAUCCACUUAUGCAUAAAUAUAUAGUGAAGAUGGAAGGAAAGUGAUACAGUUUCUAAUUGUGCCUCUUAAUCAUGAAAAAAAUUGAGAUAGGUGGAAGGAAAAGCCAUUAUUAAGAGUUAUUGAAGGAUUUAAGGAUUUUGGAGUAGUGCCACUAUAAAGCAAAAAUAUGGAGGUACAAAAGAAGACGUACUCUUGUAAGAUGUAGGUACCUUUGAUGCAAGUUUUAUUGGCAUUUUUUAAUAUGGAAGUAUAAUGUAUAAAAAAAUUAAAGAUUUAAAUAUAUAUAUAUAUAUAUAUAUAUAUAUAUAUAUAUAUAUAUAUAUAUAUACGUUUUAGAAAAAAAAUCAUAUAAAUUAGGGACAUUAAAAGUAUUUUAGAUAUUUAUGAAGAAAAUAAAUUCAAAGUUUCUUUAGAUUUAAUUGCAUCUAUUAGAUUAGGAGAUUAUGAUAAGGUUGUAGAAAUUGAUUUGAGGUUUAUUCUAUACUUGAAUCUUUUUAAGCAUCUGAAGUUAUUAUAGAGACUAAAUAUAAAAUUGUAGACAAGAAGAUAAAAUCAAUUGUCAAACCUUUAUCAAAAGAUUCUAUAAAAUAAAUAAAUAAAAUAUCAAAAGAAGAGAAUUUAAGGAAUCUUAAGAAUAUUGGACCUUACUUUACUUAAAAGACUCUUGAAGAAUUGAAGGUUGGAUGUAAUAAUUCCUUGUUACUGACAAAAAUUGAAUAUUUUAAAGAAAUUAUUACAAAAAAAGGUAAAUAUUUUGCCUUUAGAUCUCAUAAAAUAAGAUGUAUAGAUCUUGAUAUUUUUUCUUCUAUGGUUAUCUUUACAAUAUCACAUGUGCCUUGGAAUUUAAAGCCAAUUCUUAUACAAAAGGCACACUUACCUAAAUUGGUAGAGUUAUUAAAAGAGAAGAUGUAUAUGAAGAUUUUGAAGCCUUUUUUGCUUCAUAUUCUAAUUUUAGGUUUAAAAUAUCUAAAAAAGUAUAUCAUUAUAUUUUAUUCAAGUUAUGCAACAAAAAAAUAUAAUAACUAUUAGAAAUACAGAUUUGAGACUUUUAGUAGAUGAGUUGAGAAAAGCAUUUGUAAGAAGGACAAUUUAUUCAAUGGAUGAUUUAUAUUUAGGCUAUGAUCAAUUUCAACUUGUACAUAGAAAUAGAGAUUUUAAAACAAUAAAAAUGCUUUUUAGACUACUUAAAAUAUGUACUCUUUAAUAAGAUGCUACUAACUUAAUUGCACAUAUGAUGAAUGGGAUGAAAAAGAUAUUGAGAGACUUCAUUCUUGAAAAAAAAAUGGUUUUUUUAGAUGAUGUUUCUAUCAAAGGAUGUAAAAAACGAAAAAAAAGAUGAGAAUUCAGAUGAAAGGAGGUAUUAUUAGUAUGUUAUUGAUGAUAUAUAAGAUUGUGAAAAGAUUUUAAUUUGACUUGAAAAAGUUUAUCUUACACUUUUGAAAGCAAAUUCUACAUUUGGAAUACAAAAAAUUAUUAUUUUUGGACAUUUGUGUGGAUUUUAUGGGAGAAAAUUCAAUCAAAAUAAAUUUGAUGAAAUUGAAAAGAUGAAAGAUACAUAUAACUUUUUAACACAAGUACGUAAAUUUUUAAGUAUAUUUUAUUAUAUAUGGAUUCUUCAUUAUUCUCAUAUAAUAGAUAUAUUGUAUGAAUUAUUAUACAAGGAUUGCCAAUUUAAAUGGAAAAAAAAAGCAUACUAAAGUAAUGUAAAAAUUAAAGGUAUUAUUGUUGACACCUCCAAUUUUAAAAAGAAUAGAUUAUGAGUGUAAUAGAUAAGUAAUAAUUACUAUAGAUGCUAGUCUAAUUACUAUUGAAUGGGCUAUGGAUUAAGAUGAUUUAAGUAAAUAUAGAUUUGCAAUUUGAUUUAGACCUAAAAUUUUAAGUACUCGUCAACAUGCAUAUUUGUAAGUCAAAAGAGAAUUAUCAGGAGUUAUUUCAACUAUAGAAUCUAAAAAAGAUUAUUUAAUUGGUGUAAUGGUAGUAAUUGAAAUAAAUUACUUUUUAUUACUUAGAAUGAUUACUAAUUAUUCAACACCAGAUAUUACAAUAUUAAGAUGGAUUGCUUAUAUAAAAUCAUUAAAUCCAAAGUUUGGACAUGUUGCUCAAAGUGACAAUUUGGUAGUGAACACGUUGUCUCAAGCCAAAUAUAAAAGAGAAGGUGAGAUAGUUGAAGACAUUAAUAAUAUAGGAUCAAAAUUUUGUUCAAUAUCAAAUCUUAGCUAGGAAGACAAGUUAUUUUUUAAAGAACUUAAUAAAGGAGAAUUAUUGAAAAUUUAUUAUUAUUUGCAUACCUUAACUAAAAAAAAAUUAGUCUAUAAAAAAAUUUAAAUAAAUAAGAAAAAAGGCACAUGGAUUUUUGCUUCAAAAAAGAUUAUUAUUAAAGAGAUCAAAGAAAGGAAUUAGUAUGCUACAAUGAGUGAUAGGAAAUAAAGAAGAAUAACAAAAACUAUUAAAAGGAUUUUAAAAUAGUUUAUAGGUAGGCCAUAGGAGAAUUUGAACUACUUUUGCUAAACUCAAAGAUUAAUAUUGGUAAAAAAAUAGGUAUCAAGAUGUUCUUUUAUUUACAAAAUCAUAUAUAACUUGUUAAUAUUUAGACCAAGAAGAUGAAGAAGAGUAACAUGUGGCACAUACCGAAAGAUGUACAAGUUUGGAGGGGGUGGAUGUCAUACUGUAAAUGCUUACAGUAUGUAAAAAUUAACUAAAACAUAUUAUAUGUUGAUAAAUCUAGAUGUAUGUUAGAGUGGCUAGUAGAUUAAAUUAAAAGGAGUUGGUAUAAGAAACUUUACUUUGUUUAUUUAUUUCUUUUGAUUUUGACAUAUAUAUAUAUAUAUAUAUAUAUAUAUAUAUAUAGGUCCUAAAUGUUUAGUAUGAAACCUUGGGAAAAGGUAGAAACCUAAGGAUGAAAAUCUAAACUAGUAGGAAGCUAAUUGGGAGGGAUGAAAGCAAGGCAUGGUCGGAUGAAGGCAAGGAAUGGAAAACUUCAUCCCUAUUGGUCGAAUACCAUGCCCAAUGGGCUUUGAAGAGGCUGUCGGCGACUUUAAGAAGGAUUUUGGCGACAUCAAAAGGGGCAUUCGGAGAUUAGAAGCUAGGGUGUCAGGAACAAGAACUCGAUGAAAGCUAAAGAGUAAGUGAGACUUUUCUCAAAAAGAAAUAGGACAAAAUAGAAAUAUGUAUAUUAAGAAAGAAACUGGAAUGGCUAUUGCCAAAAUACAAGAAAACUAGAGACCCUUGAAACUAGACUAGAAGCAAGAAAGGAGUUGACAAGAGUGAAGAGGGCUUCACUCUUGCCUCUAUAUAUACUAUCUAACUAGAAGCCACGUGGCGAUGUUCUAUAAGACCUCCAAUAUAUGUUGACUUUCUAGGCCACAUGCCUUUGCUUGCAAGGCAAGUUUUCUAUGGAUAGACCACGUAGUUAGCUUGUUCUUUAAGCUUCCAACAUGCGUGGCACAUGGCUAACUUGUUGACCAAGUUUCUAACCUAAAAGUCAACUAUAGACUCCUAUAAAGUCAAAGCAGCGUCUAUGAAGCUUCUAAGAAGCUUCUCUAGAAGAUAUUACACAAUUAACCUACUUUUACAUACUUUUAUCUAUUCAUAUAGGUAAUUAUAUGUAUGUCCGUGACAUUACCCCCCCUUCUAGGGACGAGUUCCACGAGGAGCGGUGAUUAUAUAUUGAGAAAAUCUAAUAUGCGGCGAAUUGUAUUUGCUACAUACUCUGAUCUUUGUUCUCUUCGAAGAUAGUUGAUGGGUCCUCUUAGCCAUCGAUAGUGUCCCAUUCCAGGGCGAGAAGACCACCCUGUUAUUUGAUCACUGUUGAGGCCUUCAUAACUUCCUUCAAAUAAUACAUUUGAAACACCAUCAGGAGUCGUUCCUAUCUCCAAUAAUAUCACCAAACAUCGAGAAUCUCUUCCAAGGUCGUGAUACCAAACGCGUUGUAUCUCACCAUCUAUUCGAGGAAGAACAUGUCGUUCUUGAGGGUCUUCAUUUCGGUUGCGUCGUCUUUGAAGGUUGUGACAAUCGCAAUGUUUCAUCCGGUAAGUCAGCAAACGAAGGUUCUUGAGUUGAAUCCGCUGGUUGUUGGCUCUCCAUCUAAUUAGCGUCACAAAAUGCAAAGAAGUUACAAACAAGGAUAGGAAAUUGAAUGUUAUCUUGCCUCAAUCUUGUCUCUUUUAUAAGAGAGGUUUUCAUCUUGGUUUUGAUGGAUGUCGUUGAUGAAAAACUUUGACUUUAGCUGAUGCAUUUGCUAGAUUCCUGGAUGGCUCCCAUGUGCGCUCACUAAUAUCAUAUCCGCACCAAUGAACAAGAUAUUCCAGCUUAUUUCGGCGCCGCCUUGAGUCUAAUAUCUCUUCCACCUCAAAUUCUUCAUUAUUAUCUACUUCUAUAGGAGGCGGUGGCAUUUGUCUUCUUCCUUGUAUAUCCACUGUCUUAUAUGGUUCAAGAAGAGACACGUGGAAUACAGGAUGGAUCUUCAUUGACUCCGGUAGAUGUAACCGAUAUGCAACUGGGUUGAUCUGUUCAGAAACAGAAAAGGGGCCAAGCCUACGAUAGUCCAAUUUGUCACAAGGUCGAGUGGUCUUGAUAUUGCGACGAAGUAGCCAUACCUUAUCACCCACGUUGAUUUGUGGUUGCUCUUUACGAUAUACAUCUGCAUUUAUCUUUUGUCGUUCUUGAGCUUUCUUCAACUGCGCCUUCAUUAUUGCAUGUAACUCUGACAACCGAUUUGCCAUAUCUUCUGCUGCAGGAUUAUCAACUUUUGAAAAAUCAAAAGUAUCAAGUCGUGGAUGAUAGCCAUAAUUGGCAAAGAAAGGUGUUUGUUGCGUGGAGGAAUGUACUGUAUUAUUAUAAGCAAACUCUGCCAAUGGCAGAAGGUUUGUCCAAUCAUCUUGUUGGUAGUUGAUGGUACACCUUAAAUACUGUUCCAAGACUUGGUUUACGCGCUCUGUUUGUCCAUCAGUUUGAGGAUGGAAAGCUGAAGAUAGCUUUAUGUCCACUUUUAAAAUCUUGAAAAGAGUCCUCCAGAAUCUCGACACAAAUUGAGUUCCCCUAUCCGAUAUGAUAUCUUUAGGUAAUCCAUGAUAGCGAUAGAUAUUAUCAAUGAAAAGCUUAGCUGUUUCUUCACCUGUGAUAGAUUUUGUACAUGGCAUAAAAUGUGCCAUCUUGGUGAAACGAUCUACUAUCACAAAUAUAGAAUCAUAACAUCUUGAGUUUGGAAGAUCUGUGAUGAAAUCCAUAGAAACAAAAGACCAUGGUUGUUCUGGUAUAGGUAAUGGCUGAAGAAGUCCGUAAGGUCGAUGUCGAGGAAUUUUUGAUCUUGAACAAAUAUCACAUGAUUGUACAAAGUCUUUGACUGACUUCUACAUUUGUGGCCACCAAAAAUCUCUUGAUAUGAGUUCCAGAGUCUUAUUAUAUCCAAAGUGCCCUGCUGCUGGAAAGUCAUGACGUGCUUGAAGAACAUGCAAACGUGCUUUUCCUUCUGAAACAUAUAGGCGUCUUUCAAAAUAUAAUAGAUUAUUCUUGAACUCGAACUUAGAAGAAUCAUGAGACUUGGAAGAAUUAUUCUCGAUAUCAUGAACAAGAGGGUCUGAGGACAUACUGGACUGGAUUUGCUUGAGAAAAGUUGAAUCAACAGUCAAUGUUGAUUUCACUGCUCGGAGAUGAAAUUGCUCCGGUUUCAAGAGGACCGUUCUUUGUUGCUCAAAAGCUGCAUCUCCUUCUUUUGGUACAAAAUAAGAACGUCUAGACAGGGCAUCGGACAAACCUUGUUGUUUUCCUGGCCGAUAAGUGAUAAUGAAGUCGAAUCUUGACAAAGACAUACUCCAACGAGCUUGACGACGAUUCAACACGCGUGCUGACAUGAAAUACUCGAGGUUCUUGUGAUCUGUAUACACAGUGACUGGACUAGAAGCACCUUUUAGAUAAUGACGCCAUUCUUGAAAAGAAUCCACGAUUGCAAGAAGUUCUUUAUCGUGGAUUUCAUAAUUGAUCUCGGCUGCUGAGAAUUUUCUUGAAUGAAAAGCUAUCGGAUGAAGUUUGUCAUCUGUUCCCAUUUGUUAUAAAACUGCACCCAAGGCAAAAUUUGAUGCAUCUGUUUCCAUAAAAAAUGCCUUGGAAAAGUCAACACGAUAUAAGACUGGUGCAGAGACAAACGAUGUCUUCAAGGCUUCAAAUGCUGCUUCCGCUUCUUGAUUCCAUUGGAAUUUAUCUUUACUAGUCAAGCGUGUAAGUGGAGCUGCAACUCGUAAGAAAUCUUUGAUGAAGAUCCGAUAGUAAUUGGCAAAUCUCAAGAAACAUUAGACAUCUCUCACAGUCUUUGGAAUCUUCCAAUCCAUGAUUGUUUGGACUUUCUUAGAAUCCAUCAUGAGACCAUCAUUUGAAAUGAUGUAUCCUAAAAAAUCAACUUGAGUAGUGUGAAAUACACACUUUUCCAUCUUGGCGUACAAUCCUGCAUCUCUGAGUUUUUGUAAUACUUGACGAACAUGUAUUUCAUGUUCUUCAACAUUCUUAGAAUAAAUCAGGAUAUCGUCUAGGUAGCAGACGACAAAAUUGUCUAAGAAUUCACGAAAUACAUCAUUCAUGAGAUGUUGAAAAGCAGCUGGUGCAUUCGUGAGUCCAAAAGGCAUGACAUUAUAUUCAAAAUGCCCGUACCUGGUUCGAAACGCAGUCUUCCAUUCAUCUCCUUCUUUGAUCCGUACUAGAUUAUAUGCUCCUCUUAGAUCUAUUUUUGUAUAGAUCUUAGCUUGAUUUAACUGGUGAAGGAGUCCUGAUAUCAAAGGUAAUGGAUACCUGUUCUUGAUUGUGAUCUUGUUGAGUCCUCGAUAGUCAACACACAUUCGUAAAGAUCCAUCUUUUUUCUUUACAAAUAAAAUUGGAGCUCCUGCUGGAGAUUUUGAAUGGCGUAUGAAAUUCUUCGCUAAAUUCUCGUCAAUAUAUGUCUUGAGUUCAGCCAACUCAUCUUGCGAUAAACUGUAAAUUGGUCCAAAUGGUGGCUGAGUUCCUUCCUUGAGAUCGAUUGAACAAUCGUAUGGGCGAUGCUCAGGAAGAAUAUCUGCAUUCUUUUUCUCAAAAACGUCUUGAUAAUCCUGAUAUUGACUUGGAAUGCCACUUGAAGUCUUUACGCUUUCAGAAAUAGGUGCAGCAUAAAUAGCAAAAGUUGAUCCUUCUUUUGCUGCGUGUAUAAAUGCUUUUGCACCUAUAGGUGUGAGUUUUACUAUACUAGACUCAUGGUUUUUUACUUGGUUAAUAGAACUGUUACUAAUGCUCUGAGGAAAAUCAAGUUUACGAGAAAUCCAAUCUAUUCAAGGAUUAUACUUUUCUAACCAUGAUAAGCCUAAAAUUACUGGAUUAGAGGGAGAUCUAAUUAUAUUAAAAAUUACGCAACUACUAUGACCAUUUAUUACUACAUCUACAGGAAGUGUUUCGUGAGUUACAUCUCCAGAAGACAACGGACGACCAUCUAUGACUUCUACGUGUACAGGUUUAGUUUUUUGUAUUAAUGAUAUUCUAUGACAUCUAGCAAAUUCUUCAUCUAAAAAAGAAGAUGAGGCUCCUGAAUCUACCAAGGCAGAGGCUUUGCAAUUAUUAGGUCCUAAACGCACAUCUAUUAUAAAACAAGGAGAUGGUUUUGAGGAGAGGAUAGGACCUUUAUUAGAAGUUGUACAAGAUUCCAGCCGCACGGUCCCUAUUGUAGCUGGACGUACUCGUUUUCCGACAUACUGUCUUCUUUGACAGCCGUACUCCUCAUUUUGUAGUUACGUCGCUUCUUUGGACAAUGUUGAGCAGUGUGCUUAGAUUCUCCACGAUAUAAGCACAAUCCUUCUUGUCGACGACGAGACUUUUCUUGCUCAGUAAGAGGUUUGAAACGUACCGCAUCAAUUUGCAUAUCCUCUACUUCCGAAGGUAUGUGUUGAGGAGACGUCGGUGUUGCCAUUGAAUUGUAGUAACGUUGAGGCCCACUUGUGCGACUCUCGGAUCGAAAUUCAAAAAGUCGAUUGUCGCACUUCAUAGCAAAGUCAAUUGCUUGACUCAAUGUUUGAGGAUCAGGUAAAUUAAGCAUUAAUUUCUUUACCUCAUAUUGUAAUCCGUAGAGAAAUUGACUCACAAGUGCGGCAUCAUCCCACUUGAUAUCAGUUGCAAGUUGUCGAAAUUGCGAAGCAUAUAAUGUUACUGAUCGAUUGCCUUGUCGCAAAAUACGGAUCUUGUUGGUUGCAACACGAAUUGCAUCAUGUUCUCCAAACAUGGAUCGAAACUCCGCCAAAAAAGCCUCCAGAUUAUCCAAUAUUGGAUCUCGUCGUUCAAGAAAAGAUGAAAACCAUGACAAUGCUGAACCUGAAAGAAGUGUACCAAUGAAUCUUACUUGUGACCCUGGAGUUGGAUAGCUCUGGGGUUGAAGUUCAAUCACUAGUUGGACCUGAUUGAUGAAUCCUCGAAACUUGGAUCUGGUACCAUCAAACUUCUCGGGCAAGGCAACUCUCGGUUCUCUAACACUCGAAGGGUGUUCCAUUCUGGGAGAAGGGACAUGGUUUGGUGCAGAUGUUGAAGCAGCCCCAAUCAUCUCUAUAUCUUCACUUCCUACCAUUCUUGUUGCUCCUUGUGGUGGUAAAUUGAGUUGAUGCAUCGCAAGCAUUAACUCCCUCAAUUGUUCUUGCAUCUGUGCCAUUGCACUCUUCAUUUCAACAAGCUCUGCCAUAGUAGCACUUAGAAAAGAGAAGAUGUCUAACAACGCUCAAAACAAAUAGAAGAGAGGAAUUGAUAACAAAGAAAAUACUAAGAACAAUAUCAGUUUAAAAGAGGGUAAUCCGCAACUUCUAAUGCGCUUAUGUCUUAUCAAGAAAAAGGGGUAAUCCACUCUUAAUCAAGAAAAGACAAAGCUCUGAUAUUGUAAGUGUACUCUUGUCAAUCUGUCAGGGACAAGAACUCCAUGAAAGCUAAAGAGUAAGUGAGACUUUUCUCAAAAAGAAAUAGGACAAAAUAGAAAUAUGUAUAUUAAGAAAGAAACUGGAAUGGCUAUUGCCAAAAUACAAGAAAACUAGAGAUCCUUGAAACUAGACUAGAAGCAAGAAAGGAGUUGACAAGAGUGAAGAGGGCUUCACUCUUGCCUCUAUAUAUACUAUCUAACUAGAAGCCACGUGGCGAUGUUCUAUAAGACCUCCAAUAUAUGUUGACUUUCUAGGCCACAUGCCUUUGCUUGCAAGGCAAGUUUUCUAUGGAUAGACCACGUAGUUAGCUUGUUCUUUAAGCUUCCAACAUGCGUGGCACAUGGCUAACUUGUUGACCAAGUUUCUAACCUAAAAGUCAACUAUAGACUCCUAUAAAGUCAAAGCAGCGUCUAUGAAGCUUCUAAGAAGCUUCUCUAGAAGAUAUUACACAAUUAACCUACUUUUACAUACUUUUAUCUAUUCAUAUAGGUAAUUAUAUGUAUGUCCGUGACAUAGGGUUAUAAAGUUUAGGGUUUAGAGAACAAUUUGUAUACAAAAAUUAGAGGAUUUGGAGUUAGGGUGAAAAGUUAUAAUUGUUUGAAGUUAAGGUGUUUAUUUAAGACAUACUGUUACUCUUUUGAGAAUACGAGGAGUUUUACAACAACUUUUGAAGAUCGGAAGGUGCGACUGGAACGGCGAUUUCAAGGCCUACAUCUUUUAUGAAAGAAUUAUUGCUUUUGGAGUUCAUAUAAAGGAGUUGUAAGGAGUUGAAAGCGACACUUUCAAAUCAAAAGCAGUAAGUAAGCGGGUUUGUUUGUAAUAAUGGUUGAAGCCAUAACUUGAGUUUUUGGACGAAUUUUUGGCUCAAACUUUUUGGAAAAUGUAAAAUUUUGUAUUAAGAAGCUAUAUAUAUAAAUUUCGUGGCAUUUGAGCUUAUAUUUUUUGAGAUAUGAAGAAAAUUGCAUGCGGAUGUAUAAAGAUAAGGGUUUGAAGCGGCUGUUAGAGAUUUCAAGAUAUCUCAAGAUCUGCAAUGAAUUUGUAAUUGAAAAUUUUUGUAGAAGUUAAUAAGAAUACAUCAAUAUCUUAUGUAAAAUUAGAGUUUGUUUGGACGGUCGGAUUAAGAGAUAUGAGGUGUUGAAGUUCGGAAAAAUCUCCACAUAAGAAUAAACAAGGAUUUAGAAGAUUUUAUCAUAUUUUGGAAGUUGUGGAUUACUUGAGGAUUGUGUAUUUGGUGUAAUUACUCAAAAAGAGAAAAAUUAUAUAUAAACAUAGGGCUUCCCUUAUUUUCAAGCUUGAUUGAAUAAUUAGUGACAACCAAAAGCCCAGCAUUUUCUUGAGGCAAACUCUCUCUACCCCGACACUGAAGCAAUUUCAUCUUCGAGUAAUAAAAUCAACAAUGACUAAUGAUUUAACUUUUCUUAAGAAAGUCCAGUUAAGUAUGUCUUCAGACCCUCUUAUUCAUGAUAUCAAGAAUAAUUCUUCUAAAUCUCAUGAUCCCUCUAAAUUCGAGUUGAAGAACAACCUACUCUAUUUCAAAGGACGCCUAUAUAUUCCAGAAGGAGAAGCACGUUUACGUAUUCUUCAAGCUUGUCACGACUUCCAAGCAGUAGGAUAUUUUGGAUAUAAUAAGACUUUGGAGCUGAUAUCUAAGGAUUUUUAGUGGCCUCAAAUGUGGAAGGUAGUCAAAGAUUUUGUACAAUCAUGUGAUAUUUGCUCAAGAUCAAAAACUCUUCGUCAUCGACCUUUUAGACUUCUUCAGCUAUUACCCAUUCCAGAACAACCAUGGUCUUCUAUUUCUAUGGACUUCAUCAUGGAUCUUCCAAUCUCAGGUUCUUAUAACUCUAUAUUCGUGAUAGUAGAUCGUUUUAUCAAGAUGGCACAUUUUGUACCAUGUACAAAAUCUAUCACAGGUGAAGAAACACCUAAGCUCUUUCUUGACAAUAUCUAUUGCUAUCAUGGAUUACCCAAGGAUAUUAUAUCAGAUAGGGGAACUCAAUUUGUAUCAAGAUUUUGGCAAACUCUUUUCAAGAUUCUAAAAAAAAGAUAUAAAACUAUCUUCGGUAUUCCAUCCUCAAACUGAUGGACAAAUGGAGCAUGUUAAUCAAGUUUUGGAGUAAUAUUUAAGAUGUACUAUUAACUACCAACAAGAUGAUUGGACAACUCUUUUGCCAUUAGCAGAGUUUGCUUACAAUAACACGGUACAUUCUUCUACAAAACAAACACCUUUCUUUGCUAAUUAUGGUUAUCAUCCAUGACUUGAUACUUUGGACUUUUUAAAAGUUGAUAAUCCUGCUGCAAAAGAUUUGACGAUUCAUUUAUCAGGGCUACAUGCAACGAUGAAGGCGUAGUUAACUGAGGCUCAAGAACAACAAAAUAUCAAUACGGAUGUCAGCGAAACGAACAACCACCAUUCCUCUUGGGUGAUAAGGUAUGGCUACUUCGUGGCAAUAUCAAGACCACUCGUCCUUGUGACAAAUUGGACUAUCGAAGACUUAGACUAUUUUCUAUUUUUAUACAAAUUAAUCCAGUUACAUAUCAUUUACAUCUAUCGAAAUCAAUGAAAAUCCAUCCAGUAUUCCACGUGUCUCUUCUUAAACCAUACAAGAUAGUAGACAUACCAAGAAGAUGACAAGCUCCACCUCUUCUUAUAGAAGUGGACAAUAAUGAAGAAUUUGAAAUAGAAGAAGUCUUAGAUUCAAGGCGGUGCCGAAAUAAAUUAGAAUAUCUUGUCCAUUGGUGCAGAUAUGAUAUUAGUGAAUGCAUGUGGGAGCCAAUAAAGAAUCUUGUAAAUGUAGCAAAGGCGGUGGAGGCUUUUUAUUGACAACAUCCAUCAAAAUCAAGAUAAAAACCUUCUUUAUAAAAGAAACAACAUCUAGGCAAGAUAACAUUCUACUUUCAAUCCUUGUUCAUAGCUUCUUUGUAGUUGUGACGCUCAGGAGAUGGAGAACCAACAACGAGCAGAUUCGACUUAAGAGCCUUCAUUUGUUGACCUGCCAGAUCAAACAUUACGAUUGUCACAACCUUCAAGACGAUGUAAUCGAGAUGAAGAUCUUCAAGAACAACAUGUUCUUCCUCAAAUAGAUGGUGAGAUACAACGCGUUUGAUAUCACAAUUUGGGAAGGGACUCCCAAUAUUUGGUGAUUUUGCUAGAGGUAGGAACAACUCCUGAUGGUGUUUCAAAUGUUCUAUUCGAAGGAAGUUUUGAAAGCCUCAACAAUGAUCAAAUAACUGGGUGGUCUUCCCACCCUAGUAUGGGACACUACCGAUGGUUGAAAGGCCCUAUCAAUCAUCUUUGAAGAAAACAAAGAUUACAGUAUGUGGCGAAUACAAUUCGUCACAUCAUAGAUUUUCUCAACAUAUGAUGACCGCUCCUCAUAGAAUUCAUCCCUAGAAGGGGGGGUAAUGUCACAGACAUACUCAUAUAAGCUAGUAAUUACAUAUACAAAUAAGUGGAAGUAAGUAAAAGUAGAUAAAAGUAAGUUAAUUCUAUAAUAUUUAAUAUAGAAGCUUCAUCGAUGCUGCUUUGACCUCAUAGGUGUCUUUAAUUGACUUUUUGGAUUAGAAACGUGGUCAACAAAUUAGCCAUGUGCCACACAUGUUAUUAGCUUGAAGAUCAAGCUAACUAUGUGGCCCACAUGUAGAAAAACUUGCCUUGUAAGUCAAGGCAUGUGUCCUACAAAGUCAACAUAUAUUGGAGGUCCUAUAGAAUGUCGCCACGUAGUUUCUAGUUGGAUAGUAUAUAUAGAGACAAGAGUGAAGCCUUCUUCACUCUUGUCAACUCCUUUCUUGCUUCUAGUCUAGUUUCAAGGGUCUCUAAUUUUCUUGUCUUUUGGCAAUAGUCAUUCCAAUUUCUCUUUCAAUAUACAUACUUGUUUAUUUAUAUUUUGUUACCUUUCUUUGAGUGAAGGCUCAUUUGUCUGAAUUUUUUUUUAUCAAGUUCCUGUCCUUGAAAACUUCAUUCAAACUUUAGACCAAAAAAUAAUUAAAUCUUAAAUCCUAAAUAAAUCCUAAUAAAAUCCUAAAUUCUAAAUCAAAUCCCAAUCAAACCCUAAAUUCUAAAUCAAAUCCUAAUCAAACCUAACCAAAUCCUAGUAAUUCCUAUAACAUAUUUAAACUUCAAUAACUAAUGAAUGAACUGUCGAUCUUAAUUGAAAAUUUGUGCACUUCUUAAUAAUUGAGUUG